UUGAGACGCGGCAUACGGCUCAGUAACACGUGGUUAACCUACCCUCAGGACGGGGACAAACCCGGGAAACUGGGGCUAAUACCAGAUAGGCGAGGACGCCUGGAAUGGUUCUUCACCCAAAGGGCUUUGGAAACAUGCUUUUCAAAGUCGCCUGGGGAUGGGGCCGCGUCCGAUCAGGUUGUUGGUGAGGUAAUGGCUCACCAAGCCUAUAACCGGUACGGGCCGUGAGAGCGGUAGCCCGGAGAUGGGCACUGAGACAAGGGCCCAGGCCCUACGGGGCGCAGCAGUCGCGAAAACUCCGCAAUGCACGAAAGUGUGACGGGGCUACCCCGAGUGCCGUCCGCUGAGGAUGGCUUUUCCUCGGUGUAACUAGCCGGGGGAAUAAGGAGAGGGCAAGACUGGUGUCAGCCGCCGCGGUAAUACCAGCUCUCCGAGUUGUAGGGAUGAUUAUUGGGCUUAAAGCGUCCGUAGCUGGCUUAGCAAGUCUCCUNGUUAAUUCAGCGACCUAAUCGUUGAGCCGC
rnacentral:rRNA from 1 species